rnacentral:rRNA from 1 species
CACGUAGGGCGCAAGCGUUGCCCGGAAUUAUUGGGCGUAAAGAGCUCGUAGGUGGUCCGCUGCGUCCGCUGUGAAAUCCCAGGGCUUAACCCUGGGCUUGCAGUGGAUACGGGCAGACUAGAGGUAGGUAGGGGAGAAUGGAAUUCCCGGUGUAGCGGUGAAAUGCGCAGAUAUCGGGAGGAACACCGGUGGCGAAGGCGGUUCUCUGGGCCUUACCUGACACUGAGGAGCGAAAGCGUGGGGAGCGAACAGG